ensembl:lncRNA
CACGUUUAGAUAGGUGAGUGUAAAGAUUAACACGUUUAGAUAGGUGAGUGUACAGAUUAACACGUUUAGAUAGGUGAGUGUACAGAUUAACACGUUUAGACAGGUGAGUGUACAAAUUAACACGUUUAGAUAGGUGAGUGUACAGAUUAACACGUUUAGAUAGGUGAGUGUACAAAUGAAAAUGCACAAAUAGCGUCUCUGACUCAGCCCCGGUUGCACGGAGUGACAGUAUCUGUUGCUUGGCAACGCUUCAUGCCGAAAACUCCAGUUGGAACUAUUUCUGGGGGCAUGAGAAUGAAUGGAACAAAAUCUUAAUUAAAUGACAGAAAAUCACAAUCUGGUGUCUUGAAACUCAAUUAGUCAGC